rnacentral:sRNA from 1 species
UAGCACGCUUUAAAAAUACACACACAUUUCGGCACAUACGUUAGGGUCCCCUCGGGGGUUACGUAUGGGAAGUGUGGAGGAUUAAC